GGUAAAUUUUCGUUGGUAUUGGUGGCGGAAGGAUGGACAAAUUUCUCUAGAAAAACUCACAGGAUGGACAAGACAGCAGCAUUGAGGCAAUUGAGGAGGACAACCAGCUAGCAAAAAGGCAGCGAGUCGGAAGAUCAUCGGUGUGGGGCCAUUUCGAAAAAAUUAACAACGGUAUGUCGGCAAAGUGUGUAUAAGACGAGCGGAAAUACCUCAAAUUUAUUUGACCACCUGAAGCGUGCGCAUCCCGGUCAGCGUGUUAACGAUGUGCCAAUCACUUCUGGUAAAAUAGAUACAUAUUUAAACACAAUAUAUGAAUCUACGUUAAAGCGCAAACAAGAGCUUGAUUUAGGACUCAUAAAGAUUGUAGCUCAAGGCAUGCAACCUUUUUCUAUAGUUGAGGAUCCUGAGUUUCGCGACUUUAUCAAACUAUUCGACCCACGAUACAAACUACCGUCGCGGAUUACCCUCUCUAAUGUCAUGAUGACAAAUUUAUUUGAUGAGCAGAAACCUAAAUUAAAAAAUUAGCUCAGCAAAAUAAAUCACUGUGCCAUCACAACUGAUAUGUGGACGUCCCUGGCAAAUGAAUCUUAUAUGACAGUCACAUGCUCGUUUAUUACAGAUAGUUACUGUCUUCGCUCUGCUGUUUUAUCAACAAAUCAAAUUAUCAAAUUGGUUGUGCAAGAUUGCCUAAAGCUGGAUUCCACAAAAGAAGUACUUAAAAAAUGCAAGUUCAUUGUCGCGUUUUUUAAAAGUAGCACGAUUGCUUACAAGAAAUUUAAAGAUUCUCAAUUGACGGAAACUAAAUAUAGUCUAAUACAGGAAGUUGCCACCAGAUGGAACAGUGCAUUCCUAAUGAUUGAAAGACUCUUAAAAACACAUGAAGCAAUCAAUAUAACACUUCUAAGUUUGUCGAAAGCGCCACAGCAUCUCACAGCUGACGAAAUCAACAUUUUAAAAGACUUGUCACAAAUACUUUCUCCCUUUGACAUUACUUCCAAAGAAGUGUCAUCGAAUUCUAUAGUCACGGUAUCACUAGUUAUUCCAGUUACUUGUGGCCUCUUAAACAACUUGGAAAAUAGCACAAAAAAAUCUUCUUACCGAAGUUGGCCUUAAAGUGAAUGAAUUUUUAAUUGAUUGCGUAAUCAAAAGGUUGUACAAGUACGAAGAUCGCACAGUAACUAACAUUUCUACAUUGCUUGAUCCAAGGUUUAAAAAACAAGGUUUCCGUUUGCAAUUCAAUGCCAAAAGUGCUGAAAAACUUUUAAUUGAAGAACUUAUUCAUCUGAGCAAGUCUUCAGCUCCCACCUCAGAGCCACCAACACCAAUUGAUCAACCAAAACCAACACGACAUCCUCUUUAUGAAUUUGUAAAAAUCAACAUAGAAAAUUUGCCUAGGACCAAGCGCUCCGAUGCAAUAAUUGAUUUACACCAAUAUAUUGGGAAACAUCACACCUUGGGCGAUGUUGAUCCCCUCAAAUAAUGGCAGCAUAACGAAAGUAGUAUAAAAGACCUUACUACGAAAUAUUUUUGCAUUCCUGCUUCAUCGACAGAGUAGGAGCGAAUGUUCAGCAAAGCUGGACAAAUUAUAACGGAACGAAGAGCUGCCUUAAAAGCUAAGCAUGUGGACAUGCUCCUUUUUCUUAGUCACAAUUCUCGGAUCUUGGCAGAAGACUGAUCCUUAAUUUUAAUUUUAUUCAAAUUUGUUUUGAUUUACUAUGUCCAUGAAGGAUCUCAUUAUGUUAAACAUAUGAAAUGUUUAUUAAAAUGUUAAUUUUUA